CCUGCCCCUAGAACCAUUGCAGGUAUGGCUUCUGUUGUCACAUGUGUGUCAGUAGGUAGCAGAGAGGAGAGGUUAUGUCUAUGCUCAGUGUUCUGAUCUAUGAACAUCUGAAUAAUCAGUAGCCUAAUAUU